UUUUGUGGGUGUUGUCCUAUUUAUUGAAGGAAUAUUUAUAAGUGCAAAAAAUAGGACAACACCCACAAAAGUAUGUGAUACUACAAAUAAAGUUCCAUGAGAGAACACAUGGUGAUUACAGAAAAUAUAAGUGAUAACACAAGCCCAGUUCCAGAAAUACAUUAUUUUAAGAACUCGAUAAACCAGACAGAAGAAACACCAUUCAACAUAAUUUAGGAUCACAAGCACAACCAAACUUCCACAUCAUCAUUGCAAGAUGGGAAUGGACCCAUUUUAUUUUCUAGUCUUUCUUAGGUUUUUUUACAGUGCAUAUAGGUUUUCACCUCUGAUCACCCAAUGAUUUCAGGAUUGCAUGGAAUGACAGAGAUAACCAUAAUGCAUAUGAGCCAAGAAUGA
rnacentral:misc_RNA from 1 species